CCUACGGGUGGCUGCAGUAGGGAAUAUUGCUCAAUGGGGGAAACCCUGAAGCAGCAACGCCGCGUGGAGGAUGAAGGUUUUCGGAUUGUAAACUCCUUUUGUUAGAGAAGAUAAUGACGGUAUCUAACGAAUAAGCACCGGCUAACUCCGUGCCAGCAGCCGCCGUAAGACGGAGGGUGCACGCGUUACUCCGAAUCACUGGGCGGAAAGGGCUCGUAGGGGUGAUAGCAAGGCAGAUGUGAAAUCCUAUGGCUUAACCAUAGGACUGCAUUUGAAACUGGUAUUCUAGAGUAUGGGAGAGGUAAGUGGAAUUCUUGGUGUAGGGGUAAAAUCCGUAGAGAUCAAGAAGAAUACUCAUGGCGAAGGCGACCUGCUAGAUCAAAACUGACGCUGAGGCGCGAAAGCGUGGGGAGCAAACAGGAUUAGAUACCCUGGUAGUC
rnacentral:rRNA from 1 species